AAGUCAUUCAUUCAUUCGCCUCGACCAAGUCUAUUUGUGCAAUUUUUUUUUACGUGGAAACUAUCAUAUAGUUGUUUCCACGCGGAUUAAGUCUUCAUCAAAGGGUCUUCACAUUAGUUUUUCAUUAAAAGAAUGUAUGUUUGUAGUACUUACAAUUAUUCUUUAUAUAGAAUUUGGGAUUCAUUUACUUUAAUUAAUAUGAGAGACUUACUUGUAAAUUUAUUGGCUAAAAU
rnacentral:misc_RNA from 1 species